UACGUAGGGUGCGAGCGUUAAUCGGAAUUACUGGGCGUAAAGCGUGCGCAGGCGGUUGGGCAAGUCAGAUGUGAAAUCCCCGGGCUCAACCUGGGAACUGCAUUUGUGACUGCACGGCUGGAGUGCGGCAGAGGGGGAUGGAAUUCCGCGUGUAGCAGUGAAAUGCGUAGAUAUGCGGAGGAACACCGAUGGCGAAGGCAAUCCCCUGGGCCUGCACUGACGCUCAUGCACGAAAGCGUGGGGAGCAAACAGG
rnacentral:rRNA from 1 species